rnacentral:rRNA from 1 species
GGAAGUAAAAGUCGUAACAAGGUCUCCGUUGGUGAACCAGCGGAGGGAUCAUUACCGAGUUUACAACUCCCAAACCCCUGUGAACAUACCAAUUGUUGCCUCGGCGGAUCAGCCCGCUCCCGGUAAAACGGGACGGCCCGCCAGAGGACCCCUAAACUCUGUUUCUAUAUGUAACUUCUGAGUAAAACCAUAAAUAAAUCAAAACUUUCAACAACGGAUCUCUUGGUUCUGGCAUCGAUGAAGAACGCAGCAAAAUGCGAUAAGUAAUGUGAAUUGCAGAAUUCAGUGAAUCAUCGAAUCUUUGAACGCACAUUGCGCCCGCCAGUAUUCUGGCGGGCAUGCCUGUUCGAGCGUCAUUUCAACCCUCAAGCCCAGCUUGGUGUUGGGACUCGCGAGUCAAAUCGCGUUCCCCAAAUUGAUUGGCGGUCACGUCGAGCUUCCAUAGCGUAGUAGUAAAACCCUCGUUACUGGUAAUCGUCGCGGCCACGCCGUUAAACCCCAACUUCUGAAUGUUGACCUCGGAUCAGGUAGGAAUACCCGCUGAACUUAAGCAUAUCAAUAAGCGGAGGAAAAGAAACCAACAGGGAUUGCCCUAUAACGGCGAGUGAAGCGGCAAGAGCUCAAAUUUGAAAGCUGGCCCCUUCGGGGUCCGCGUUGUAAUUUGCAGAGGAUGCUUCGGGUGCGGCCCCUGUCUAAGUGCCCUGGAACGGGCCGUCAGAGAGGGUGAGAAUCCCGUCUUGGGCAGGGUGCCCGUGCCCGUGUGAAGCUCCUUCGACGAGUCGAGUUGUUUGGGAAUGCAGCUCUAAAUGGGUGGUAAAUUUCAUCUAAAGCUAAAUACCGGCCGGAGACCGAUAGCGCACAAGUAGAGUGAUCGAAAGAUGAAAAGCACUUUGAAAAGAGAGUUAAACAGCACGUGAAAUUGUUGAAAGGGAAGCGCUUGCGACCAGACUCGGCCCCGGGGUUCAGCCAGCACUCGUGCUGGUGUACUUCCCCGGGGGCGGGCCAGCGUCGGUUUGGGCGGCCGGUCAAAGGCCCCAGGAAUGUAUCGCCCUCCGGGGUUGUCUUAUAGCCUGGGGUGCAAUGCGGCCAGCCCGGACCGAGGAACGCGCUUCGGCACGGACGCUGGCGUAAUGGUCGCAAACGACCCGUCUUGAAACACGGACC